GCCGGCGCGCCGCGCGCGUUCGAUCAGCGCGUCGAUCUUGGCGGGGUCGCCGGGCAGGUAGGCCUGGAACCAGGUGCCGGGCGCUUCGGCGAUGACGGCU
rnacentral:tRNA from 1 species